rnacentral:rRNA from 1 species
UGGGGAAUUUUGGACAAUGGGGGAAACCCUGAUCCAGCCAUCCCGCGUGUGCGAUGAAGGCCUUCGGGUUGUAAAGCACCUUUGGCAGGAAAGAAACGUCAUGGGUUAAUACCCCGUGAAACUGACGGUACCUGCAGAAUAAGCACCGGCUAACUACGUGCCAGCAGCCGCGGUAAUACGUAGGGUGCAAGCGUUAAUCGGAAUUACUGGGCGUAAAGCGUGCGCAGGCGGUUCGGAAAGAAAGAUGUGAAAUCCCAGAGCUCAACGUUGGAACUGCAUUUUUAACUACCGGGCUAGAGUGUGUCAGAGGGAGGUGGAAUUCCGCGUGUAGCAGUGAAAUGCGUAGAUAUGCGGAGGAACACCGAUGGCGAAGGCAGCCUCCUGGGAUAACACUGACGCUCAUGCACGAAAGCGUGGGGAGCAAACAGG